rnacentral:rRNA from 1 species
UCAUAAGCGGAGGAAAAGAAACCAACAGGGAUUGCCCCAGUAACGGCGAGUGAAGCGGCAUCAGCUCAAAUUUGAAAUCUGGCCCCUCCCGGGGCCCGAGUUGUAAUUUGCAGAGGGCGCUUCGGGCGAAGCCCCGGUCCAAGUCCCUUGGAACAGGACGUCAGAGAGGGUGAGAACCCCGUGUCCGACCGGCGGCGCUCCCCGCGUGAAGCCCCUUCGACGAGUCGAGUUGUUUGGGAAUGCAGCUCCAAAUGGGUGGUAAAUUCCAUCUAAAGCUAAAUACCGGCCAGAGACCGAUAGCGCACAAGUAGAGUGAUCGAAAGAUGAAAAGCACUUUGGAAAGAGAGUCAAACAGUACGUGAAAUUGUUGAAAGGGAAGCGCUUGCGGCCAGACUUGCCCGCGGGUGUUCAGCCCGCCCUCGCGGCGGGCGCACUCUCCCGCGGUCAGGCCAGCAUCGGCUCCGGCGGCCGGACAAAGGCCCGGGGAACGUGGCCCCCUCCGGGGGGUGUUAUAGCCCCGGGCGCAAUGCGGCCAGCCGGGGCCGAGGACCGCGCUCUGCUAGGAUGCUGGCGUAAUGGCCGCAAGCGGCCCGUCUUGAAACACGGACCAAGGAGUCUAACGUCCAUGCGAGUGUUCGGGUGUCAAACCCCUGCGCGCAAUGAAAGUGAACGGAGGUGGGAGCCCUCGGGCGCACCAUCGACCGAUCCCGAUGUCUUCGGAAGGAUUUGAGUAAGAGCAUGGCUGUUGGGACCCGAAAGAUGGUGAACUAUGCCUAGAUAGGGUGAAGCCAGAGGAAACUCUGGUGGAGGCUCGCAGCGGUUCUGACGUGCAAAUCGAUCGUCAAAUCUGGGUUUAGGGGCGAAAGACUAAUCGAACCAUUUA